CCCUUAGAUGUUCUGGGCCGCACGCGUGCUACACUGAGUAAUUCAAUGGGUAAGGGAACGCUAGAGCAUUACCCAAUCUUGAAAUUUGCUCGUGAUGGGGAUCGACGGUUGCAAUUUUCCGUCGUGAACGAGGAAUACCUUGUAGGCGCAUGUCAUCAUCAUGCGCCGAAUACGUCCCUGCCCUUUGUACACACCGCCCGUCGCUCCUACCGAUUGAGUGAUCCGGUGAGGCUCUGGGACCUGGACGGAAAGAGCGUUUCGCUUGUUCUGUUUGGGAAACUUGGUCGAACCUUAUCAUUUAGAGGAAGGAGAAGUCGUAACA
rnacentral:rRNA from 1 species